UAUUUUCCGCGCGGAAGUUCAAAAACGACUCGGUGGUUACCUGUGCCGUUCCCAUUGCUGAUCUCCUGCAAAGGACAGUUGGGACGUCAGCUGUGAACACCGAUGGCUGCAACCGGGAAGGACGAAGCUGGUCCAGGGACAUCGGCGGCGAAUUGUCCGGCUGCGUCAUUCCGCUGCACGACCUGCGGUAUGCUUUUCUCCAGCGAAGCCUACCGAAACCGACACGUCAGAUACAAGCACCACCACCCCGGAGGUCCUCACAUGUGUUCUGACUGCGGAUACAGCACAACGAGAUUAUCGGCGUUACGCGUUCACCGAAGAAGCCAUACGGGCGAACGCCCGUUUGCAUGCACCGUUUGCGACAUGGCCUUUGCGGACAAGCGUCGUUUGGCAGGACACAUCGCGUGUGUGCAUGAAAAGUCCAGGCUCCACCGGUGUGACACGUGUGGAAGAUCAUUUCACUAUCGGCACAAUUUAAGGGGACACCAAAGAAUUCACACUGGGGAGAAGCCCUUUGUAUGCGCGGUGUGCCAGGAGAGGUUUACCUGGUUGAUAUCACUCCGCCAGCAUGCCUGCACGCACGGGGCAGAGGAAUCUCCUGAAAUGGGGCAGGGAAAGAAUGAAAACGUGAAUGAGAGGGUGAAGAGAAAGGAACAGACUUCGUCGUAGCCUUCACGCAACGGAGACGUCAUGGAUGAUCACUGAAGAGAAGAGUACUGCUGAACGAGGUCUAUUGCUCUUCCUCGCGGGUUAUCUCAACGACGAGAAGGCGUGAAACAAAAAAAUUCAUUUAUUAAUCCAUAAGUGGCACUUCGACUUCCAAAAAUAAAUGUGUCCGCAUAGAUCGUAGUCGGCAUAUAUGUUUUCA